rnacentral:rRNA from 1 species
AUUGCACGCUGGCGGCAGGCCUAACACAUGCAAGUCGAACGAGUGGCGGACGGGUGAGUAAUGUCUGGGAAACUGCCUGAUGGAGGGGGAUAACUACUGGAAACGGUAGCUAAUACCGCAUACCAUCAGAUGUGCCCAGAUGGGAUUAGCUAGUUGGUGGGGUAACGGCUCACCAAGGCGACGAUCCCUAGCUGGUCUGAGAGGAUGACCAGACAAAUUGGAACUGAGACACGGUCGAGACUAAUACGGGAGGCAGCAGUGGGGAAGAUUGAGAAGUGGGCGCAAGCCGGAUGCAGCCAGGCCGCGUGUAUGAAGAGGGCCUGCGGGUUGUAAAGUACUUUCAGCGGGGAGGCGUUACCCGCAGAAGAAGCACCGGCUAACUCGGUGCCAGCAGCCGCGGUAAUAC